rfam:Xenorhabdus innexi strain HGB1681 (deposited as PTA-6826 in the American Type Culture Collection) genome assembly, scaffold: XIS1_scaffold1
CGCUACCAUCGAAAUGUAAUUAUCAGUGAUCUGUUCGCCUGUGAGGAUCACCCAUGCGAUGGCGAAACAAAGCUCCCGUAGCCUGCAAGGGAGCGCAUUAUCUUGCGGUACAUCUGCGCACUUUUGGAAGCAGAUAUCGUCAGACAAUAACC